CGCCGCGCGCCCCUCUCGCCGCUCCGCAUCGCGGGCGAGCCGCUGUCCGCUACCGCCGCUCGGUCCCCGCCGCGGCUCCUCGCCCGCACCGCCGCCCCCCCGCCCCGGCGCGGCCCGGGCCGGCCGCCACCCGCUCCGCGGCGCCGGGCGGCUGUGGGGGAGGGCAUGUAAACAAAUGGGGUUUUAUAGCUACCUCACUCGAGUGCCGUGUGCAUCUCCCUCUCCGCUCGGUACCAAACCGCCGCGGCGCCUCCUCCUCCUCCUCCUGCCGCUCCGCCGGCGCUAUUCACAGAGCCGGCUACGCCGCGCUCGCCCUGCACACGCGGCCCCGCAGCCCGCGCUGCCCAAUGCGCAGCCAUUUCCUCCAGCGCUACGAAAGUGGCGUAGCGGCCCUCCCCGCCCGCCCCUCGCUGCGGCGGCUCCGCGCACGACCCGGCCAUGGCCGCCGGGCCCGGGAGCGCCGGAGGGAGCGCCGCGGGCCCGGGGCAGCGCAGCCAUGUCCCGGCCGAGGGACCCCGGCCCGGGCUGCUCGAGGGGAGCGGGGCCCGCGGGACCGGGGCCGAGCUGCUGCCUCUGCAGCCGCCUGGGGAGACGGUCCGUCAGCAACAACGGGGUAUUCGUACCUUCCUAUGGAGGUACCUUCCUACGGGGGUACCUUUCGGGGCCGAGUUGUUUCAGGCUCUGAAGAAGACUUUUGCUCCUUCAGUGGGUCACUGGAGAAGACUGAAUGACUUUAAAAAGCAAAGACUUCAGAGAGACAGCAUGAAACCAUGCAUGGAAAUAAAUACACAGCUGUAGUCUGGAUGGUCA
ensembl:lncRNA